rnacentral:rRNA from 1 species
AGUGAACGCUGGCGGUAGGCCUAACACAUGCAAGUCGAACGGCAGCACAGGAGAGCUUGCUCUCCGGGUGGCGAGUGGCGGACGGGUGAGGAAUACAUCGGAAUCUACUCUGUCGUGGGGGAUAACGUAGGGAAACUUACGCUAAUACCGCAUACGACCUACGGGUGAAAGCAGGGGACCUUCGGGCCUUGCGCGAUUGAAUGAGCCGAUGUCGGAUUAGCUAGUUGGCGGGGUAAAGGCCCACCAAGGCGACGAUCCGUAGCUGGUCUGAGGGGAUGUUCAGCCACACUGGAACUGAGACACGGUCCAGACUCCUACGGGAGGCAGCAGUGGGGAAUAUUGGACAAUGGGCGCAAGCCUGAUCCAGCCAUACCGCGUGGGUGAAGAAGGCCUUCGGGUUGUAAAGCCCUUUUGUUGGGAAAGAAAUCCAGCUGGCUGAUACCCGGUUGGGAUGACGGUACCCAAAGAAUAAGCACCGGCUAACUUCGUGCCAGCCGCCGCAGUAA